rnacentral:rRNA from 1 species
UACGAGGGGGGCAAAUGUUGUUCGGAAUUACUGGGCGUAAAGAGUGUGUAGGCGGUGCUCUAAGUCUGUUGUGAAAUCUCCCGGCUUAACUGGGAGGGUGCGGCGGAAACUGGAGUGCUCGAGGGUGGGAGAGGUAAGCGGAAUUCCUGGUGUAGCGGUGAAAUGCGUAGAUAUCAGGAGGAACACCUGUGGUGUAGACAGCUUACUGGACCACUUCUGACGCUGAGACACGAAAGCGUGGGUAGCAAACAGG